UUUAAUUUAGUUACAAUAACAAAUGUUCUAAAUUUUCUAACAUAAAGAUAGGUAGUAGAUUAUAGAUAAAAUUAUAUUGUAAUAUUUUAGAGUAUCAUUUUCAAAUGGGUGUUUAUUUUUCAAAACUUUUUAAGAGAAAUAUGCAGCAUCAUUAGACGUUUCAAAUCUAAAAUGCAUUUUUACGGUGUAUUACUUUAUUCGAAUGCAAGAUUUGAAAAUUUUUAGAAAAAAAAUCAUAUUUUCGAAACAAAUCACGGACUUCAGAAAUUUUGCAAUUUUGUAAUUUUUUGAGUCACUAGUUCUGUUAACGGUGGCAGUUGGGAUGUUGGGGUUGGUUUAUUUUGAUAUUAGGGCGCUGUUCUAGUUGUUGGUCAUGGUUUGGUUGAGUUGCAUUGGUUUAGACGUCGGCUAAUGGUGAAGGGUGUGAAGGAAUGGUGGAUGUGGUUGGUCAUCUCAAAACAGUCUAGUGAUUCAAAGUUUACAAAAAUCAAGAAAAAUCUAAAAAUGCCUUUCUGGAUAUACCUUCCGUUUUUUCUCUACCAACAAUCGUAUUUCAGUCGAUCUAAAAAAUUUUCUUGAUAUAAACAUGAAAAUUCUAUUAUCUUCUAUUCAAAAUUUAACACUUUGCAUUAUAUAAAGUACUGAAAAAAUUCCUAUUUUCCUUCCAAGAUCAUGCUUUUGCUCAAAUACACCUCGUUAGGCUAAUAUGAACCUGAUCCACGGACGAACAUCUUUAAGUAAAUGUUUAUGUUAAAUGUUUAAGUAAGUUGAUUUUAAUUUGAAAAAUCUAGUUUAUUGUCUCUACUAAAUGGUCCUGCUGGCAUUUUUUCCAAAUUUCUUUGUCGUUCUCCAGCAAAAUAUUAAUGCAACUGCUUAUUUUUUAUUAUUUUUUUGACAACACUACCCUCACAAUUUUAUCCACACCAAAUUUUUACUGAAUUUUUAACUAACUGUAUCCUUUAAUGACAUCAUUAAAAAGAUUAAAAGGAAAGUUAAUUUUUACUCGUUAUUUUUGAGUUUAGACUUGUGCUUUGGCCUGCAAACUAUGAUCAAAACAGAAUUAAUUAACUCUUCGAGCGCCGUUCUACAAUUCAUAAUUGCAUGUAAAAAAUGGAAAAAUGCUUUAUAGUUGUGAAAAGUAAAAGCAAAUCAUGGUGGCAUUGGAAAAGAUAAAUUUUAUAUUAAACUGUCAUGGAUGUGCAUGUCAUGUUUACAGCAACGUUUCUAAGUACUAUGAUAGCCAUCCAAACAACUAUGGUUUUAUGAGAAACAGAAUAUUUAUUGAUCAAAAGGCAAUUCCUUUUACGGCAACUCUAAAUGAACAAUUAUUGUACCCUUGUUUCAGAAUAUGAUAUAUAUAUAUGUAUAUAUGAAUAUAUGUUCAAGACAAACUUUAUCGCAUUUCUUAGGCCUCCUUAGUUUAAAAUAUUUUUAGAUGAUUUUCAGCUAUACUGGAUAUUUUUUCACAUUUUAAUCGGAAUCAACUAAUUAUGAACAACGUCAACUUCAGAAGAAACUUUCAUUGAAAUUUUGUGAAAGUCUAAAUUGAGAUAUCUACCCCAUUUGACUUGUUCUUUAUUUUUUUUCUAGGUUUGGUCGCCGAAAGUUUUUCUUUUGUGACAGCUUUUGUUUCCAAGAGGAUUUCUGGGCCGAGUUUUAAAGCUUUUUUAACCUAAUUUGUCUUCAGUUCUUCCCUUUAGGAAAAGAACCUUUUGGAAUGGUUGAUUUGAAAACAUGGUGAGUUUUUUAAUGCCAAGUUCAACUUGCUACCCUUGUGGCAGGCGUUUCAAGGCCGUUUAAUGUUCUAUUCUCUACUUAUUACGUUACAAAAGUAACAAGCCUAAUGAGCAUAUCAAAACAAGUCUUUUAUAGCCUGUAGUAAAUAUCCUGAGAAGAAAAAACUCAAUACUGCAAUUCCUUCAGUUCUAGUUUACCAAUGAUUAAUCCAAACGGAGUAAAAUAUCCAUUUGUACACAACCAAAGUUCAAUCAACCUGAUUUUUAUAAUAUAAACAAAACAUUUCUUUACCAUGUUAUAUUUGCUGUUGUUUUUUACUGUCUUGUAUUAUUUCACACUUUAGAUAAUUUAUUGUCUCUUUAAAAUUCUUUCUAGCUUUGCAUUUGAGUACAGUGAUGGUCCAUGAGAUUGAAAACUACUGUUGUUCAGUGGGUAACUAUUGCAGCAAAGUUUGCAUCCAUAAAAUCAUAAAAUGUUGGUCCGUUUGAACAGAUUUAAAGAUUGUUCUAGCAGCUUCCAGUGAAAAUUCAAGAUUAGAAAGAAAGUAAGUAAAUUAUAACAUAUUUUUUUUGCUGAUUUUUUCUGCGAAAAUUAAAAGAUAGCCAUGAUAAUAGGAUGGAUUAUUGUUCACCUUCUGGGCGUUAUUAUGAACUUAAAUAUUUAUAUACUUUGUGCUUUUCAUAACGAUCAGCAUUAUUUUUACACAAUUCUUAUUUUUAGCCAUUUCAAUUCUAGCCUUAGACACUCAGAGGCAAAGCAGAUUGAUUUAAGAAUGAAAUAGAACUGCAAUUUUUUGGUAUAUUCUUUUCCAUUCGUUAAUAACAAUUAUUAUGAAUUAUUCAGUUUACAAACAUCUUUCUCCUUGGCGAUUAUAUUCUUCAAACAUUGGCUUGACAAUUGGAAGUUGGUUUGAAGGCGAGAUGGUGAAAGACUAUAUUAUCUUACUCGUUGAAGAAGAUGCUUAUAAAGAUUAUUUUGUUUGCAUGUUUUUUGUCAUUUUUGUCUGCCCUUUUGUCAUUUAAUUAUGGAUAUUGAGGGACAUUGAAACGAGAGACAUGAAAAAGGUCUGAGGCUGAUUUUGGAGCUAUGCUAAUACCUUCUGGUGAAUUGCUGAGUGCUGAGUUUGGAAAUGAGUAUCAUUUGACUUCUUGUAUAUCAUAUGUUUCUAAAAAUUAAUCUUUGACAACUGUACAGUCAUAUAUUAUAUCAUUAAAAUUUCUCUCGUGGUGAUUCAAA